GAUCCUGGCUCAGGAUGAACGCUAGCUACAGGCUUAACACAUGCAAGUCGAGGGGCGAGCAUGGUCUUAGCUUGCUAAGGCCGAUGGCGACCGGCGCACGGGGUGAGUAACACGUAUCCAACCUGCCGUCUACUCGUUGGACAGCCUUCUGAAAGGAAGAUUAAUACAAGAUGGCAUCAUGAGUCCGCAUGUUCACAUGAUUAAAGGUAUUCCGGUAGACGAUGGGGA
rnacentral:rRNA from 1 species